UCAGCAACAUGUAAUGUUAACCAUUCCUGGUUCAAUGGCUGCUUCACUGGGCACCUGGACUUCCAGAUUCAGAAAACAAGACCAACAGUGGCGUGGAUCAGCGUUCCUGGGUGAGCUGACCCCGAUAUACAGAAGACAAGACCAACAGUGGCGUGGAUAAGCAUUUCUGGG